ACGGGGAGUGCAAGCGUUGUUCGGAAUCAUUGGGCGUAAAGCGCGUGUAGGCGGCUUGGUAAGUUCGGUGUGAAAGCCCUCGGCUCAACCGAGGAAGUGCAUCGGAUACUGCCAGACUUGAGUGCGGGAGGGGAGAGCGGAAUUCCCAGUGUAGAGGUGAAAUUCGUAGAUAUUGGGAGGAACACCAGUAGCGAAGGCGGCUCUCUGGACCGACACUGACGCUGAGACGCGAAAGCGUGGGUAGCAAACAG
rnacentral:rRNA from 1 species